rnacentral:rRNA from 1 species
GACGAACGCUGGCGGCGUGCUUAACACAUGCAAGUCGAACGGAAAGGCCUGCUUUCCCUUGUGGAUUGCGGGUACUCGAGUGGCGAACGGGUGAGUAACACGUGAGUGAUCUGCCCCCAACUUGGGUAUAAGCCUGGGAAACUGGGUCUAAUUCCCGAUAGGACUGCAGGGUGGUGCCUGUGGUGGAAAACGAUUUUCUAGUGGUUGGGGAUGAGCUCGCGGCCUAUCAGCUUGUUGGUGGGGUAAUGGCCUACCAAGGCGGCGACGGGUAGCCGGCCUGAGAGGGUGGACGGCCACAUUGGGACAGAGAUACGGCCCAGACUCCUACGGGAGGCAGCAGUGGGGAAUAUUACACAAUGGGCGGAAGCCUGAUGCAGCGACGCCGCGUGGGGGAUGACGGCCUUCGGGUUGUAAACUCCUUUCGACCGCGAGGAAGCCACCUGGUUGGAAGGGUGGUGACGGUAGUGGUAGAAGAAGCACCGGCUAACUACGUG